AGCAGAGAGCCCGAUCCAGCGUUCAAUCCCAGGACCCCAGGAUCGUGCCCUGAGCUGAAGGAAGACACUUAACGGACUGAGCCACCCAGGUGCCCCAUGUGUCUUGUCAAUUUAAUUCUUAGAUCACAGGGAAGACUCUUGAAGGGGGGAGCAUAAUUUUUCCUCAGCAACAGCUGGCAGAGUCAGCGGGAUAAACACUCACUGGCUGGACGCUGCUGCAGCUGAGAGACGAUGGGACAUCUGACAGAAGCUGGCAGAAGGUAAGAAUCCUCAUCACCACAUCACGUACUGGGGCUCAGCCUGCACGGGCUAAAUUCAGGUUAGCAGAGAAAAUAUUUGUGGAACUAGUUCCUUGGCCUUAAGGACUCUGGUGAUGUUGGUAGAAUUCUCUUGGCUUGAGAGAUCCAUUUCCAUCCAGAGAUGGCCGGUUUUUCUUUGUCCUUGUCUUUUGUGUCAUUUGUCGUAAAAAAAAAAAGAAUUACUGUAGAAAAGAACACAGGCAUAGGUCCAAUCAGCCUGCUGUUUGAGUAGGCCUCACAGACUGGUGGGUUCACAAUUACCAUCAUAGCUGCGUCUCUUUAGACAACCUUUACUGUGGGGCCUCUGUGUAAAAGCUAGAGGAGGUUUUUCCUUUUGUCUUGUUUUAUGUCCUAAGAGCUUUGGUUUGUAGCUAGUGAGAAUAUUCUCUCUGGCCUCCACCAUCCAAAAGAUGCAAUUACAAGAGUGCCUCUUGGUGUCCCAUCAAGUCUAGUGGGGUUCUGAGACUAUUAUAAGCAUUGUCUGCCCAUGCCAACUCUCAAGGGAAUUUGUUAUAAGAGGUCCCAGCCCAUAAGGGACCUUUGUCAUCUUAACCUUUGUUAUUGCUGGAGAAGUCUCCUUAGAAUAGUGUCUUCCCCAUGUCACAGAAUUGUGGGUCUCUAUACCAUCUUUACUUCUUGUGCAGUGAAGGCUUUUGCUGUCUUAGGCCUUUGGGUCUUCCCAUAAAAAGGCUUAUGGGUUUGAGUCACGAUUGAGAUGAUUAAGGUUCUAGUCAUUGUGGCCAGAUGAUGAAUCCUUUAAAUUGGCUAUAUUUGAAAGAAAAAUAUUAUUUACAGAGCAUCCUCAAUUCUAUUAGGAUAAUGGCUAGCCUUUGAAGUUCCCUUGUCAAGGUGAAAGGACAGUAAUUUGACUUAAGAUAAAAAUUAUUGUCCACAUCCAAUGUAAAUCCUCCUCCUUGAAAUCCAGCCCCAUCUGCCUGUUUUAAUUUCCCUUUUCCCUACGAGAUUUACACAGAGCCCCACAGCCUAAUCACAGGUUCAAAGUACACAGGUUACUCAUGUAAAUGCCGAAAGCCAGGAAAUAAAUUUAACAAAAGCACCCAAGACUGACAGUAAGGCUUGCUUUGCUCUGACUUUCCAGGGCUUCGUAAUUGGGCCCUGCCAGCGUCAGGCAUUUCUAUGCAGUGUCCUUUGCAGAUGUAUCCUGGACACUCCCACCCCCACCACCCACACAACAAAUUUUAUGUCCUCUGGAUAGCAGCAGAUCCUUUACACUGUAAAAGUCCUUUUACUUCCACUUUCAGAAGUUCCUACCAAAUUUAGAGAGGAAUUAGGAAGAUCAGUGGCCAUCCACAACACCCCCGCACCCCCCGGCACCCCCCGCACCCACACAGAUAAAACUGAUGACCACAAUGUUUCCUAGGCCCUCGUACAAGUGGUCAGCAGGAGGUCAAUGUUCAGGGACUAAUAGAAGCCGAGGUUAAAUUGUGUACUCAGAAAGAGGCUUUGUGUUUAAAAAAAAAAAAAAAAAAGCUUUGUACAGACUUUUCAAAGGCAUAAAUAUUGAUUCCCAUUUUAGUUAUAUAUCUCCCUGAUACAAAGAAGCAAGUUUGAUUUACAAAGGCAGGUGAGUCCCUUGCUAUUCAGGUUGUAAUCCACUACUUUGUGGAAAUUAAAAACAGCUGUCUUUGUCUUGCAACUCUAAAGUAUUAAAAUAAUCCAGAAAUUGUAUGAAGUUGCUUAGAUUUUAUAUGUAAUUGUGUUAUCUCUUAUAAUUCUGCUUAAUAUCUUGAAUGGCUGUGUGUCACAGAAAUAACCAAAUUUCCUUCUUGAUUGCAUUGUGUGAACUCUAAUCAAAUUUUUAACCAUUGCCAUUUUUAACUCUUUUAUCAUUUACAGACAGCUUUAUACUUUUAUUCAGAUGCUUUUGUAAAAGUGUUACUACAAAUAUGCUUCAUCUUCAAGGAAAUUCAUGAAAAGGACUCUAGAAUAUAGGUUUCUAAGAACUUUAAGAUCUUUAAAAACUCCAGAAUUAAUGGAAAAACUGGAUUCAAGCAAAACAAGAAGAAUUACACGUGAGUGAAUAAACUGAGGAAGAGAAAUAAUAUAAUUAUGACUUUUGGUUAGAAACAUUGACUUUUAAAAAUGUUUUAUAUCCAGAUUUAAGGAAACUUUUUUUCUCUUAAGCUAAUUGAUUUAUAGCAUUUCAGUAAAUUCUACUUCUGUAAGCAGAAUUGAAACCUUUGUGUUCUUUUUCCCUACCGGAUCUCCUCAGAAUGUGGAAACUCUCAGUGGGUCUUCUUAUAAUUUUCAUGGCAGUAUAUUUAUUUGCAUCAAUUCAAUAAGAAUCUGUUCUGGUAACAGGAUGCAGUUGGAACCACUGGUUAUAUUACGAAGGCUUUGACUGGAAUGUCAUAUGUGAGGGAAGCAUGCAUAGACUCAGAUAGGACCAGACAGCUUUAAGGAACUGAGGUUGACUUUACGGAGCCAGUAAAGCCCCUUGGAAAUAUCAGCCUGACACUUUGCUUAUCAGGUAAGUAAGGAAGAUCAACUUCAUUGCCGGUACUAGAACCCCAGGAUAUCUUGGGGACCUCAAGAAAAGAGGAGGUAACCCAAACUUCUAGGUAUUGCAGACACAGUCUGAUGGUAAGUGUUUCUCCAGGCUUCUUAGCCUCAAGAAGCUAUUAAAAGUUCAAUUCGAAGAUUCCUUAUGAAAAGUUGCAGCAGGGGCACCUGGGUGGCUCUGUCCGGUAAGGAUCCCACUCUUGAUUUUGGCUCAGGUCACUAUCUCAGGGUCAUGAGAUCAAGCUCUUUGUUGGGCUCUGCGCUGGGGAUGGGACAUGCAUAAGAUUCUCUCCCUCGCCUUCUGCCCUCCCCCUCUGACUGUCUAAAGAGAAAAGAAAAGUUCCAAGAAGUCAGAUUUAGAAGACCCUAUACGAUCAGUCACUGUACUUGCUGCCUUUACGUAAAGCACCAGGUCAGAUUUAUUAAAAGUAAACUUACAGACAAGUUAGUCUUAGUUUGGCUAAGUUUGAAAAUGAGGGGGACUUGAGAGAGAAAAAUGUUUCAAUAACACUUUUGUGGAUAUCAGAUUCUACUUCUGUUGAUUGUCUUUGAGGUUUUGUUUUCUACCUGUAAACUAGACUAGAUUCUGAAUUCUUCUGAUGACUGACUACAACUCUCUAACCAACGUUUCCAAUUUUCUCCCAUCCUUUUGACUUAGAAUAAAUGAGAAUUAAAACAGACUGUUUUUUUUUUCCUUGAAGCCCUGCAAACUGUAUAUGAAUGACUUGAUGUCACCUUCAGGAAAAUCAGCACAAUGGAUCACAUCAAGAAGAUAAAAUUCCUGUGAAGAUGUCUUACCUUGUCAAGAUCACGGGGAAGACUCUUGAAAGGGAGAGCAUAAUUUUUCCUCAAUAGCUGGCAGAAUUGGCAGGGUAAAACACUCACUGGCUGGACGCUGCUGCAGCUGAGAGACGAUGGGACAUCUGACAGAAGCUGGCAGAAGAAGAGAGAGAUCGCAGUCUGCUCUUCACCGAGCUCUCCUGGCCACUCUAACUCUGUUUCUGUCGGUGCUGCUAAAGAACCCCGCAGCAUCCCGUGUUGUGUGCCCCACAGCGUGCUCCCAGGGCUGGCUCGUCUCUGCCCUUUGUGCUUCUAACAUCGCCAGCCCCCCUGGUUCCCGUGUGCGCACCCAAGCUCCUGGUCUCAGUCUGGUUCCCUGGUGGCUACAGGACUCCAAAUAUAAACGGGAGCACCUAUACUCAAGAGAGUUUGCAGCAGCAGUGCGGACUGAAACACCACAGAACCCCAAGGUUUACCCGAGCAGGCUUUACACUAUGGAGUUCCCAUUGUCUGAGAACAUGCACCAACCAAUGGAAAGGCUCGGGCAUUCUAGGAGGCCCUAUGAAAUACAGAACCACUGACAGAAAAUAUACCGAUUGUACUUAAACUCUAACAACCCCUUCUGGGGUAGGUAAAGCAGACCCCUGACAGACAAAUGAGAACUACUCUUGAGCAUAAAGUCCUAAAAUAAAAUUGGUACAUAUCUGAGUGGGGCAUGCAGAUGAAAGGUUGACCUCGGUAUCAACUGAAAAAAAUCUCAGCCAUGCCAAUAGUGGACUUGCUGGAUUUCAAGGCUUACGCUUUAGCAGUCGGAUAGUCAGGACCACUGUGGUCCAUAGCAGUCAACAAUGUGUGGUUUCGGGUGGAUCAGGCUGCUUGCCAUCAGCCAGAGCAUGCUGCCAGCCCUGUGGCUGGACAACUACAAAUGGUUGAUCAGAAUCAGGCUGAAGGGAAUCAGUACAAUAUACUGAUUUAGUAGCCAUCAGAUUGGAAACUGAACAUUCUGUUAAGGAAAAUCAGAAUGAGGUGUGUAAAUAUUUUUGGACCCAAGGCCAGUAGGUAAAUGAAUAGCUCCUUGGUCAGGUCAUGGCAGGACAAUGGGAAAUAGGAUAGAAGAACAUAUGGGGUAAGGACAUAUGGCAGAGAGAGCACUGGAUGACAGCUCUAUAGUGAUUACAUAGGUCUCUGCACAUCGGAAGGACAACUCUGAAGUAAAGAAUUUUAAUAACCAGGUAGCAUAUCUAAACAAGGACGAUGAAACAUAAAACAUGGACUCACAGAUAUGCCGGCAGAGAGGAUCACUGCAUGGGCACAUCGCUCAACAUGUCAUGCUGGCACACAUGGCGCCAGAAGACUGCUGGAAAAAGAAACAUGUAUAUAACUACCAAAUAGCUUUAAUUUUAAAUUAGGAAAUGUGAGAAAUGCCAAAUGUGAAGCUUAUUCAUUCAUUCCUUCUUCAUUACACACUACUGAGUCAUCUGGGUAAGGUCAAAGAUAACCACCUUUUCAAAUUACACAAAGUAAUUACAUGGAACACUGGCCUAAAUCAGAGAAUGAACUAUAUGCACGCACCCAUGUAGGCCAUAAUCAGGAAUACAAUUACCCUACCUUUGCAAGAGAAAUGAUCAAAAAUCCACCAUCUAAGCCUUAGAAAUCUGGAUCGCUUGCUCUGUUUUUCCAACCAUCAUAAGAUCAGAUCAGGGCACCUAUUUCACAGGAAAGCUAAUGCUCAAGAAUGGGCUAAGAAACAAGACAUAAAGUGGAACUUCCUCUUACCCUACAACCCAACUGCCUCUGGAUCGGUUGAAAGGUAUCAUGGCUUGCUUAAGCAAAAGCUUAAGUUACUAACAAUCUAGAAUACGAAAGCUUAGACUAAAACAAGCUGAGAGGCAGAAAGAUCUCUAAACCACUGGUAUAGAAAGGGUGGAAAACCUUCCAGUGAAUUAAUAUUGCAGGCACCAACAGAGAUGGGAAUUAGCAUUAUCAGCACACCAGGAUCUCAAAAGUAUUAACUGAAAAACAGAAACAUAUAUAGUACUGGGGAAAUUAUACCACCUGCCGUAAUAACACCUACUGCCUGAUCAAAGGAAAAGGCAUAUUACAGCAAAAUGAAGACCUUACUAUACCUCUAUAAAAGUUUCAGCCAU